GCUAAAGCAGCGGGCCGGGCGGAAGGUCGGGGAGCCAGAGCCCAGGGAAGAGCAGAAGGCGCGGGGGGGCGGGGGGGGCACCCAGGAGGGAGGACGGGGCAGCGGUGAGGGUGUAGACGGGAGGGAAUCUGUCCGGUGCCGCAGUGAGUUGGGUGGCGGUGAUUUGUUCGCGGGCGCAGGCUGGGAGGCGGGGUUCCUGACUCACUGCGGCACUGGCAGGGCUGGUGACAGCACCACCCCCGCGCCGCCUGCAAUCUGCCACCGCUGCCACCGAGCCGAGGGGCGCCAGCAAGGCAUCCCCUGGGUCAAGGGGCCUCCCGUGGGCUUUCCAAACAGCCUGUGCUCAUUUCCGCGGGAGCCCUCGGGGCGCUGUGCUGUGGCUGCAUUGUCACUGUUUGUUUAUUUCUACAUCUGCUCUGUUAGAAGAUAGGCUCGCUUAGGACAGAGCCUUCUAAUCCACCCCCUGAUGAAUUCGGGCCCUCGCCUUUGGCACAAUGCCUGGCGUCAUCACAACGCGGGUGAUCAGUAAACGGCAGCGAAGGAAGCGGGGUCAGGACUGGAGAGGAGAGGGGGAGGAAGACAGACGACCGGAGAGGAACAAAAAUGGAAGAACAAGUAAGAAUGGACAGAGGAAUACCAUGUGCUGACUGACGAACGCCUGGGUUUCUGAACCAAUUGCCAUCAAGGGGAUUGGGAUUACCAUAAUUUUUGCUGAGACUAAGCCCCACCCCAGUAACCAAAGGCAGUGUUUCAAGAACCCAGCUCCAUUCAUCCUAUGAUGCCACCAUCCUCAGCAUUUGACUUCCAUGGCUCCUGGCUUAGCACAGAGGCUGGCACCUGUUAGACCUAAGAAGGAUUGGCAACUCUGGACAAAUCAGAGAAGGAGCGUUGUCAACCCUUUUCUCCUGGUGAUGAUGAUGGUGAUGGUCAAUGUCCACUCCCAAAUAUCUAUAUUGGGAAGAGGUGGUUUGUAGGAUAUGCUGCCAAGAGAAUUUUUUUCUUUAAGAACAAAUAAACUAAAGAAAUUAACAUCCAGCUUGCUGAGUCACUUGCUUUCCACUUGAAUUUUAACUACAAGGAUCUGAAGACAGCCUGUGUUAGGCAGAGAAAGAAAGAGACAGAGAAAGAGUCAGGGAGAAGAGAGGAAGAGAGAUGUAGCUGGAGAGUCAGGGAGAAAUUCAAAGAGAUGGAGAGAGAGACUGGUUCUGGAAAGAAAAGAUAAGUUAAAUAGAAAAAGGAAAGUAAUCUUUGAAAGGUUUGUUUAAGACAUGUAUUUUCUUACUCUGUAGUGGGAGCGCUGAAUAAAAAUAUUUAAAUAAAAGCUGUAAUGUGAUUAAGGUUUGAGUUGGGGUUUAAUCGUGGAAAGAGCAAGGUAUUUAGAGUGAAAGAUCUAACUUUUGUAUUUAUUUUUCAUUUUUUAGUGUUUUCGCUUUUUUAAUCCCAGGUCCUCUACCAUUGACUAUCUGAUGUUAACAAAAUCAGUUCGCUUUUGUGUCUUGGUUUCCUCAUCUAUGAAAAGGGAAUAGAAAAACUUACCACAUAAGUUGGUAGGGAAGACACAAUUCUAUAAAA
rnacentral:lncRNA from 1 species